AGAUUGGGGGACAUGUAGUCGCUGUGCGGGGGUGCAGGACGCUCCUGGCCUCCCUUGAGAGGAGGGGAGACCGGACGAGCGCGUACGCGGUCCUGAUGGAUGUGAUUUGGAGACAAUAAAAAUGGACAAGAUCCGGUGCGCGGACGUCGCCACAUGCGCGGCAUAAAAAAAAAAGCUCAGUGCGCCACUCAUAGACGCGCACAUCUGGGGGAUGCCUGCAUGCACCGGGGUGCUCCAUCAUGCACGACAAGACAGUUCACUUCAAGUGUAGCAACAUGCAAGAACUCAACCUGCAGGUGUGUGUGUGUCACUGUGCACAUUUGUGUGUGUUCAGGCCUAAGGGGUUGUCUGUUAUCUUUGGUUAUCUAGCUGUAUGAGUGGCAUACAUUCUUCAUAAAGCUAGAUAACCGAAAGUAACAAGAAUCCCAUUACGUGACUGCACCACUGAAGGAAAUUCUUUAAAGAGGAUGCUGCAUGAGGAAAAAAAGAAAGCGUUUGGCCACAUUACGCGCAUGCGCGUGACGGGACGUUCUCCUGAACUCUCACAGCACAGUGGACUGAUCCGUGGUUGGGAUGGCUGAUCCGCAUAGCAGAUGAUAAACGACAAGUGGAUUUCGAGUGAAGGUUAAAAGGAUUCGUCACGUCUUCAUUACCUGACAAGUUGAUAACAAUAACUGUGAUGCUUCUCAGUUUUAUGGAAUGUGUCAAAUGUUUUUUCAUAGAUGAGAAAAAAAUACAAUUUUUUUUUACUAUUAUGUUCUAUUUUAGGUUGGAGUGAAAGCCUAACAUUUACAUUUGUAUAUACAUUUUAAUUGUGUAAUAAUAAUAUUUAUAUGCAUUUAAUUUUAUACAAAUAUACAUUUGUGUAAAAAUGUUUUAUGUGCACAAUCAAAUGUCAAUGACAAUCUGUGUGACUAGAAUGCAUCUGAUGCUUUUUCUCAAUGCAUCAUAACUUACCGAUUUAUAUGCAGUGUAUUUGUUCUUGUAUUUGACAAACUGCAUGCAGGAUGCACUGCUUUGUAAUGUCAAAUGAUGAUGUUUAUUGUUGUCUUACAUAUGCACACUAUUGUUUUAAAAUCUAUGCAAAUGGGCUUUUGCACAUAAAAAAUAUUGUUGAGUUUGCACACUAAAUGGCUUGCUGCCGGUGUGAGGAAAGUGACGCAGCAGUACAGGAACACUUCUGCAAUGGUUUUAUGCAUUGUAACUGUUGGCAAGCAUGUACUUUAUAUCAUUUUCAUGUUUGAAAUAUUUAUUUGACAAUUCACUAGGGAUGUCCCCAGUGUGACAAAUUUUGGUAAGUUCUUUUAUUGGUCUUUGAUUAUUUUAAAAAUGACACAAGUUUGUGUAGUGUAUAUAUAUUACACUGAUUUGUCUAAUUUAAGCUAAGAGGUUAUUUUAGUACAAAAUAUGGGAAGAGUUUGGACAUUCCUGACUUAUAUUGACAUGUACAUCUAUAGCUGAUUGCACUCAAGUCCAUUUUUCAUGCUCUCUUUGUUCUAUGCAAAUUAGAUUGUUGAUAUGAUCAAUAAAAACCUGUUUAC